UACGGUAGGGGGCGAGCGUUGUCCGGAUUUAUUGGGCGUAAAGAGCUCGUAGGCGGCUGUUCAAGUCGAACGUGAAAACUCGGAGGCUCAACUCCGAGCCCUGCGUUCGAUACUGGACAGCUAGGAGUCUGGUAGGGGACCUGGAAUUCCUGGUGUAGCGGUGGAAUGCGCAGAUAUCAGGAGGAACACCGGUGGCGAAGGCGGGGUCCUGGCCAGUACUGACGCUGAGGAGCGAAAGCGUGGGGAGCAACAGGAUUAAGAAACCCCG
rnacentral:rRNA from 1 species